rnacentral:lncRNA from 1 species
GAGCGUGGUUCCAGGAAGCAGGUGCACAGAGGCUCUCUGCUUGCCUGCUGCUGUGACAGCUGUCCCUCCGCCGCCGAGCCUCUGCCCUAGUCGAUCCCAGAAGAGCCAGAAACUCACUGUAGGAUCAGCCAUGAGGCCACAAAGGAAGCACAGCCACGGCUUGGUGGAGACUCGCUGGGGGUGCGGGGGUGUCCAGGGGCUGUUCAGCUCUUGGGUUUGCAGACACUUCUAGAAGCUGGAGUGCUUUUUGUGGCUUUGUGUCCCCUGGCCAUCCUCCAUGUCCUCUGGGUCCUCCACAAACACUGGCUCCCAGCUGGUUGAGGUCCGGAUACUGGAAGCAGCAACAGGCCACAGCGCACACACUACCCCUAAACUGUCCACUGAAGGACUUCAGAGAGACUGUUGGUAAUGUGCUUGCCACGCAGGAGCUAUGACCCAGUCUGUUGCUGUGGAGGGAUGCGCACAGGAGCUCACAGGAACUUGAGGGAAUGCUGACAUCAGCUCAGCUUCUCCAGCCACCGAAGCCCUGGACAGACCUGCAAGAAGUGCAGAGAGGAUCAACACACAAGCCUCGAGUUGGGCCUGGAGCCUUCAGUAGCAGGCAGCUGGAGACACCACCACAGAAAUGAGGCAAGUGUCUCCACGCCCUGCUGCCGGGAAGGCCAAUCAUCUCUUACUCAGCCUCCCGCAGGCCGGCAGCCCUAAACCCAACACCUGCUGCUAACCUGGCUCUUUAGCCUGGCUCUGCAAACAGAAACAGCACAUCACACAAGUCCAGCAUGGCCGAG